UUGUUUGCAAAUGCAGUGUUAUCAAGAUUCACAUUCAGUUAGCACUAUCUAGCACCUUAUAUCUGUAUAGUGAUGAUGCACAAAUGAGAAUCUUGAUGAUGCUGCAUUAGCAAAUAC
rnacentral:pre_miRNA from 1 species